rnacentral:rRNA from 1 species
AUUCCAGCUCCAAAAGCGUAUAUUAAAGUUGUUGCAGUUAAAAAGCUCGUAGUUGAACCUUGGGCUUGGUUAGCCGGUCCGCCUUUUGGUGAGUACUGGAUCUAACCGAGCCUUUCCUUCUGGGUAACCUUUCUUUCGGGGAAGGCGAACCAGGACUUUUACUUUGAAAAAAUUAGAGUGUUCAAAGCAGGCCUUUGCUCGAAUAUAUUAGCAUGGAAUAAUAGAAUAGGACGUUAUGGUUCUAUUUUGUUGGUUUCUAGGACCAUCGUAAUGAUUAAUAGGGACGGACGGGGGUAUCAGUAUUCAGUUGUCAGAGGUGAAAUUCUUGGAUUUACUGAAGACUAACUACUGCGAAAGCAUUUACCAAGCACGUUUUCAUUG